rnacentral:rRNA from 1 species
UACGAAGGGGGCUAGCGUUGCUCGGAAUCACUGGGCGUAAAGCGCACGUAGGCGGAUCUUUAAGUCAGGGGUGAAAUCCCGGAGCUCAACUCCGGAACUGCCUUUGAUACUGGAGAUCUUGAGUCCGGGAGAGGUGAGUGGAACUGCGAGUGUAGAGGUGAAAUUCGUAGAUAUUCGCAAGAACACCAGUGGCGAAGGCGGCUCACUGGACCGGUAUUGACGCUGAGGUGCGAAAGCGUGGGGAGCAAACAGG